rnacentral:rRNA from 1 species
GACGAACGCUGGCGGCGUGCUUAACACAUGCAAGUCGAACGAAGUGGCGAACGGGUGAGUAACGCGUAAUCAACCUGCUCUUCAGAGGGGAACAACAGUUGGAAACGACUGCUAAUACCGCAUACUGAAGGAGGGGAUUGCGUCUGAUUAGCUCGUUGGGGGGGGAAAGGCCCACCAAGGCGAUGAUCAGUAGCCGGGCUGAGGGGAUGAACGGCCACAUUGGGACUGAGACACGGCCCAGACUCCUACGGGAGGCAGCAGUGGGGAAUCUUCCGCAAUGGACGAAAGUAUGACGGAGCAACGCCGCGUGAGUGAUGACGGCCUUCGGGCUGUAAAGCUCUGUUAAUCGGGACGCGGUACCGGAAUAGAAAGCCACGGCUAACUACGUGCCAGCAGCCGCGGUAAUAC